UGAAAGGUUGACCUCGGAUCAGGUAGGAAUACCCGCUGAACUUAAGCAUAUCAAUAAGCGGAGGAAAAGAAACCAACAGGGAUUGCCCUAGUAACGGCGAGUGAAGCGGCAACAGCUCAAAUUUGAAAUCUGGCCCUCGGGUCCGAGUUGUAAUUUGUAGAGGAUGCUUUUGGCGCGGUGCCUUCCGAGUUCCCUGGAACGGGACGCCAUAGAGGGUGAGAGCCCCGUCUGGUUGGACACCAAGCCUCUGUAAAGCUCCUUCGACGAGUCGAGUAGUUUGGGAAUGCUGCUCUAAAUGGGAGGUAUAUGUCUUCUAAAGCUAAAUACCGGCCAGAGACCGAUAGCGCACAAGUAGAGUGAUCGAAAGAUGAAAAGCACUUUGAAAAGAGAGUUAAAUAGCACGUGAAAUUGUUGAAAGGAAGCGUUUAUGACCAGACUUGGGCUUGGUUGAUCAUCCCGCGUUCUCGCGGGUGCACUCUUCCGGCUCAGGCCAGCAUCAGUUCGCUGCGGGGGAUAAAGGCGUCGGGAAUGUGGCUCCCUCGGGAGUGUUAUAGCCCUUCGUGUAAUACCCUGCGGUGGACUGAGGACCGCGCUUCGGCAAGGAUGCUGGCGUAAUGGUCAUCAACGACCCGUCUUGAAACACGGACCAAGGAGUCGUCUUCGUAUGCGAGUGUUC
rnacentral:rRNA from 1 species